rnacentral:rRNA from 1 species
GAUGAACGCUAGCGGCAGGCUUAACACAUGCAAGUCGAGGGGCAGCACGAGUAGCAAUACGAUGGUGGCGACCGGCGCACGGGUGAGUAACACGUAUGCAACCUGCCUUCUACUAUGGGAUAACCCGUUGAAAGGCGGACUAAUACCGUAUAAUACAGGGGCUCCGCAUGGAGAUAUUUGUUAAAGAUUUAUUGGUAGAAGAUGGGCAUGCGUAUGAUUAGAUAGUUGGUGAGGUAACGGCUCACCAAGUCAACGAUCAUUAGGGGUUCUGAGAGGAAGGUCCCCCACACUGGUACUGAGACACGGACCAGACUCCUACGGGAGGCAGCAGUGAGGAAUAUUGGUCAAUGGACGAGAGUCUGAACCAGCCAAGUCGCGUGAAGGAAGACGGUUCUAUGAAUUGUAAACUUCUUUUGUGCAGGAAUAAAGUGGGUUACGUGUAACCUUUUGUAUGUACUGUACGAAUAAGGAUCGGCUAACUCCGUGCCAGCCGCCGCCGUAACAC